UAGCUCAGCCGGCAGAGCAUCUGACUGUUAAUCAGAGGGUCGCAGGUUCGAGUCAAGC
rnacentral:tRNA from 1 species